UUAAAACCAUGUCUUGGAUUCUACAUUCUGGAGAGCUGUGAAUGCUGUUUGGAAAGUUUCAUCAGUUCUUACUUCACUUGGUGUUACUUGAAAUCAGAGUGCAAAAAUAGUGUUCACUUCAUCACCUCAGGAAAGGAGAGAAGAAAGGAGGAACAAAUGGCUGCAAUCACUCUUGGCUUGUGUGCUUCUCCACAUCAAUAAAGUUUUCUAUCUUGAUCACACUUUAACACUACUUGGUCAUGCAUAUCCCAGUUUUAUCUGUGAAAUGUUGGAGAGUAUGUCUCAAUGAAUGAAGAUAAAUUAAUAGGAGUGCCCAACCAAUACAUGUAAAAAUUGUAACAUUUACAAGUACCGAUGAUGCCUAUUGAGACAGAUUUGAAGAAGGAACAAAAAUUGUUGAAAGUGUCCUAGUCUUAUAGAAAAACAGGGACAUGCUGUCCUUUCUUUCUACUUGGGAUUCAUUUUCCCG
rnacentral:lncRNA from 11 species